rnacentral:rRNA from 1 species
UACGUAGGGGGCUAGCGUUGUCCGGAAUCAUUGGGCGUAAAGCGCGCGUAGGCGGCCCGGUAAGUCCGCUGUAAAAGUCAAAGGCUCAACCUUUGAAUGUCAGUGGAUACUGCCGGGCUAGAGUCCGGAAGAGGCGAGUGGAACUCCUGGUGUAGCGGUGGAAUGCGCAGAUAUCAGGAGGAACACCAAUAGCGAAGGCAGCUCGCUGGGACGGUACUGACGCUGAGGUGCGAAAGCGUGGGGAGCGAACAGG